rnacentral:rRNA from 1 species
CCGUACACAAAAGCGCAUGUGCUGUGAGCUCGAUGAGUAGGGCGGGACACGUGGUAUCCUGUCUGAAUAUGGGGGGACCAUCCUCCAAGGCUAAAUACUCCUGACUGACCGAUAGUGAACCAGUACCGUGAGGGAAAGGCGAAAAGAACCCCGGCGAGGGGAGUGAAAAAGAACCUGAAACCGUGUACGUACAAGCAGUGGGAGCACAGGUUUACCUGUGUGACUGCGUACCUUUUGUAUAAUGGGUCAGCGACUUAUAUUCUGUAGCAAGGUUAACCGUAUAGGGGAGCCGGAGGGAAACCGAGUCUUAAUUGGGCGUUAAGUUGCAGGGUAUAGACCCGAAACCCGGUGAUCUAGCCAUGGGCAGGUUGAAGGUUGGGUAACACUAACUGGAGGACCGAACCGACUAAUGUUGAAAAAUUAGCGGAUGACCUGUGGCUGGGGGUGAAAGGCCAAUCAAACCGGGAGAUAGCUGGUUCUCCCCGAAAGCUAUUUAGGUAGCGCCUCGUGAAUUCAUCUCCGGGGGUAGAGCACUGUUUCGGCUAGGGGGCCAUCCCGGCUUACCAACCCGAUGCAAACUGCGAAUACCGGAGAAUGUUAUCACGGGAGACACACGGCGGGUGCUAACGUCCGUCGUGAAGAGGGAAACAACCCAGACCGCCAGCUAAGGUCCCAAAGUCAUGGUUAAGUGGGAAACGAUGUGGGAAGGCCCAGACAGCCAGGAUGUUGGCUUAGAAGCAGCCAUCAUUUAAAGAAAGCGUAAUAGCUCACUGGUCGAGUCGGCCUGCGCGGAAGAUGUAACGGGGCUAAACCAUGCACCGAAGCUGCGGCAGCGAACGUAUCACCCAAGACAACUUUACGGAGUUGACGAUUGACGGAGCGAAGCGACGUCAAAGCGUUCAUUAAAGUCGAGUUGGCUUAGGGAUACGUUCGUUGGGUAGGGGAGCGUUCUGUAAGCCUGUGAAGGUGUGUCGUGAGGCAUGCUGGAGGUAUCAGAAGUGCGAAUGCUGACAUAAGUAACGAUAAAGCGGGUGAAAAGCCCGCUCGCCGGAAGACCAAGGGUUCCUGUCCAACGUUAAUCGGGGCAGGGUGAGUCGACCCCUAAGGCGAGGCCGAAAGGCGUAGUCGAUGGGAAACGGGUUAAUAUUCCCGUACUUGGUGUUACUGCGAAGGGGGGACGGAGAAGGCUAUGUUGGCCGGGCGACGGUUGUCCCGGUUUAAGCGUGUAGGUGUGUGUUCCAGGUAAAUCCGGUUCACUUUAACACUGAGGCGUGACGACGAGGCACUACGGUGCUGAAGCAACAAAUGCCCUGCUUCCAGGAAAAGCCUCUAAGCAUCAGGUAACAUCAAAUCGUACCCCAAACCGACACAGGUGGUCAGGUAGAGAAUACCAAGGCGCUUGAGAGAACUCGGGUGAAGGAACUAGGCAAAAUGGUGCCGUAACUUCGGGAGAAGGCACGCUGACACGUAGGUGAAGUGAUUUACUCAUGGAGCUGAAGUCAGUCGAAGAUACCAGCUGGCUGCAACUGUUUAUUAAAAACACAGCACUGUGCAA